GGUGAGAUGGCCGAGCGGUCUAAGGCGCUAGCUUCAGGUGCUAGUAGAGAAAUCUGCGUGGGUUCGAAUCCCACUCUCAUCA
rfam:Alternaria alternata strain SRC1lrK2f unplaced genomic scaffold CC77scaffold_11, whole genome shotgun sequence.